UACAGAGGGUGCAAGCGUUAAUCGGAAUCACUGGGCUUAAAGCGUUCGUAGGCGGGCUUGCAGGCGCGUUGUGAAAGCCCCCGGCUCAACCGGGGAACUGCUUCGCGAACCGCAAGUCUUGAGUCAAGUAGGGGCGGUCGGAACAAUAGGUGGAGCGGUGAAAUGCGUAGAUAUCUAUCGGAACGCCAAAGGUGAAGACAGGCCGCUGGGCUUGUACUGACGCUGAGGAACGAAAGCGUGGGGAGCAAACGGG
rnacentral:rRNA from 1 species